AUGGACACCUUCUUCCUGUCGCACGGCUCGCCCUUGCUGUCCAUCGACGAGACGAUCCCGGCGCAGAGCUUCUUCAGGUCGUGGCUGCCAGCGGCCGUCGCGGGACCGGAGCCGCCGCGCGCCAUCCUGGUGGUGUCGGCGCACUGGGAGACGGACUCCCCGGCCGUCAGCGUCAUCCGCGGCAAGCCGGCAACAACGACACCAUCCAGCAUCCACGACUUCGGCGGCUUCCCCGAGCCCAUGUACCAGCUGAAGUAUCCUGCGCCCGGCGCUCCUGAUCUGGCCAAGAGAACGAAAGAGCUCCUGGAGCAGGCCGGGUUCGGGCCGACCCACCGCGACGGCACCUACCACUAUAACCUCGGCAAGGCGCUGGCGCCCCUCAGGGGCGAAGGCGUCCUCGUCCUCGGCUCCGGCAGCGCGACGCACAACCUCGGCAAGAUGGGGCGCGACGACGAGCCGGUGCCGCAGUGGGCCUCCGACUUCGACGCCUGGCUCAGGGACUCGCUUCUCGCCGGGAGGUACGACGACGUGAACCGCUACCAGGAGGAGGCGCCGCACGCCAAGACGGCGCACCCGUCGCCGGAGCAUUUCUACCCGCUGCACGUCGCGCUCGGCGCUACCGGGGACGAGCCCAAGGCGGAGCUCAUCCACCAUAGCUGGGCCGAAGCCAACAUGUCGUACGCCUCGUACCGUUUCACCACGAAAAGACUAGGACUGGACUGA
rnacentral:rRNA from 1 species